rnacentral:rRNA from 1 species
CCCUUAGAUGUUCUGGGCCGCAUGCGCGCUACACUGACGAAUGCAACGAGCUUAUAACCUUGGCCGAAAGGUCUGGGUAAUCUCCAAAUUUCGUCGUGAUGGGGAUAGAUUAUUGCAAUUAUUAAUCUUCAACGAGGAAUGCCUAGUAAGCGCAAGUCAUCAGCUUGCGUUGAUUACGUCCCUGCCCUUUGUACACACCGCCCGUCGCUCCUACCGAUUGAAUGGUCCGGUGAAGCGCUCGGACCGCGGCCUCUUGACGGUUUUCCGUCGAUUGGCUGUGGGAAGUUCGUUAAACCUUAUCAUUUAGAGGAAGGAGAAGUCGUAACA